rnacentral:pre_miRNA from 14 species
AUCAAAGUCAUUAAUGAAAAGCUCCUGGAUCAUACUAAUACUGUAGCUGAAAGACCCCCGGAGCAGGGAGACCCUCACUCAAGUCUCGGGAUGAUGCGACCCCCCAAGAACUCAUGUGAGACC